UACGUAGGGGGCAAGCGUUGUCCGGAAUUAUUGGGCGUAAAGGGCGUGUAGGCGGUCCGCUAAGUCUGAUGUGAAAGCCCGGGGCUCACCCCCGGAAGGGCAUUGGAAACUGGCGGACUCGAGUCUCGGAGAGGAAGGUGGAAUUCCUGGUGUAGCGGUGAAAUGCGUAGAUAUCAGGAGGAAUACCGGUGGCGAAGGCGGCCUUCUGGACGAUGACUGACGCUGAGACGCGAAAGCGUGGGGAGCAAACAGG
rnacentral:rRNA from 1 species